GAUGAACGCUGGCGGCGUGCCUAAUACAUGCAAGUAGAACGCUGAAGGAGGAGCUUGCUCUUCUGGAUGAGUUGCGAACGGGUGAGUAACGCGUAGGUAACCUGCCUGGUAGCGGGGGAUAACUAUUGGAAACGAUAGCUAAUACCGCAUGACAACAGUUAUUGCAUGAUAACUGUUUAAAAGGGGCAACUGCUCCACUACCAGAUGGACCUGCGUUGUAUUAGCUAGUUGGUGAGGUAACGGCUCACCAAGGCGACGAUACAUAGCCGACCUGAGAGGGGGAUCGGCCACACUGGGACUGAGACACGGCCCAGACGCCUACGGGAGGCAGCAGUAGGGAAUCUUCGGCAAUGGACGGAAGUCUGACCGAGCAACGCCGCGUGAGUGAAGAAGGUUUUCGGAUCGUAAAGCCCUGUUGUAAGAGAAGAACGAGUGUGAGAGUGGAAAGUUCACACUGUGACGGUAUCUUACCAGAAAGGGACGGCUAACUACGUG
rnacentral:rRNA from 1 species